GGUGAACGCUGGCGGCGUGCUAAAGACAUGCAAGUCGAGCGGCAGUCUUCGGACUGUAGUGGCGCACGGGUGAGUAACGCGUAACUGACCUACCCCAAAGUCGCGGAUAACGAUUCGAAAGAAUCGCUAAUACGUGAUGUGCUGUCAGAUUGUGUUCUGCCAGUAAAGAUUGAUUGCUUUGGGAUGGGGUUGCGUUCCAUCAGCUAGUUGGUGGGGUAAAGGCCCACCAAGGCGACGACGGAUAGCCGGCCUGAGAGGGUGGCCGGCCACAGGGGCACUGAGACACGGGUCCCACUCCUACGGGAGGCAGCAGUUAGGAAUCUUCCAAAAUGGGCGAAAGCCUGAUGGAGCGACGCCGCGUGAGGGAUGAAGGUCUUCGGAUCGUAAACCUCUGAAUCAGGGGCGAAAGCCACUUCGGUGGGAUGACGGUACCUGAGUAAUAGACCCGGCUAACUCCGUGCCAGCCGCCGCGUUAAUAC
rnacentral:rRNA from 1 species